CCUACGGGAGGCAGCAGUGGGGAAUAUUGGACAAUGGGGGCAACCCUGAUCCAGCCAUGCCGCGUGUGUGAAGAAGGCCCUCGGGUUGUAAAGCACUUUCAGUGAGGAAGAACGCCUGGUGGUUAAUACCCAUCAGGAAAGACAUCACUCACAGAAGAAGCACCGGCUAACUCCGUGCCAGCAGCCGCGGUAAUACGGAGGGUGCGAGCGUUAAUCGGAAUUACUGGGCGUAAAGCGCGCGUAGGUGGCUUGAUAAGCCGGUUGUGAAAGCCCCGGGCUCAACCUGGGAACGGCAUCCGGAACUGUCAAGCUAGAGUGCAGGAGAGGAAGGUAGAAUUCCCGGUGUAGCGGUGAAAUGCGUAGAGAUCGGGAGGAAUACCAGUGGCGAAGGCGGCCUUCUGGCCUGACACUGACACUGAGGUGCGAAAGCGUGGGUAGCAAACAGGAUUAGAUACCCUUGUAGUC
rnacentral:rRNA from 1 species